rnacentral:rRNA from 1 species
AAAUUGAAGAGUUUGAUCAUGGCUCAGAUUGAACGCUGGCGGCAGGCCUAACACAUGCAAGUCGAACGGUAACAGGAAGCAGCUUGCUGUUUCGCUGACGAGUGGCGGACGGGUGAGUAAUGUCUGGGAAACUGCCUGAUGGAGGGGGAUAACUACUGGAAACGGUGGCUAAUACCGCAUAACGUCGCAAGACCAAAGAGGGGGACCUUCGGGCCUCUUGCCAUCAGAUGUGCCCAGAUGGGAUUAGCUUGUUGGUGAGGUAACGGCUCACCAAGGCGACGAUCCCUAGCUGGUCUGAGAGGAUGACCAGCCACACUGGAACUGAGACACGGUCCAGACUCCUACGGGAGGCAGCAGUGGGGAAUAUUGCACAAUGGGCGCAAGCCUGAUGCAGCCAUGCCGCGUGUAUGAAGAAGGCCUUCGGGUUGUAAAGUACUUUCAGCGGGGAGGAAGGUGUUGUGGUUAAUAACCGCAGCAAUUGACGUUACCCGCAGAAGAAGCACCGGCUAACUCCGUGCCAGCAGCCGCGGUAAUACGGAGGGUGCAAGCGUUAAUCGGAAUUACUGGGCGUAAAGCGCACGCAGGCGGUCUGUCAAGUCGGAUGUGAAAUCCCCGGGCUCAACCUGGGAACUGCAUUCGAAACUGGCAGGCUUGAGUCUUGUAGAGGGGGGUAGAAUUCCAGGUGUAGCGGUGAAAUGCGUAGAGAUCUGGAGGAAUACCGGUGGCGAAGGCGGCCCCCUGGACAAAGACUGACGCUCAGGUGCGAAAGCGUGGGGAGCAAACAGGAUUAGAUACCCUGGUAGUCCACGCCGUAAACGAUGUCUACUUGGAGGUUGUGCCCUUGAGGCGUGGCUUCCGGAGCUAACGCGUUAAGUAGACCGCCUGGGGAGUACGGCCGCAAGGUUAAAACUCAAAUGAAUUGACGGGGGCCCGCACAAGCGGUGGAGCAUGUGGUUUAAUUCGAUGCAACGCGAAGAACCUUACCUGGUCUUGACAUCCACAGAACUUUCCAGAGAUGGAUUGGUGCCUUCGGGAACUGUGAGACAGGUGCUGCAUGGCUGUCGUCAGCUCGUGUUGUGAAAUGUUGGGUUAAGUCCCGCAACGAGCGCAACCCUUAUCCUUUGUUGCCAGCGGUCCGGCCGGGAACUCAAAGGAGACUGCCAGUGAUAAACUGGAGGAAGGUGGGGAUGACGUCAAGUCAUCAUGGCCCUUACGACCAGGGCUACACACGUGCUACAAUGGCGCAUACAAAGAGAAGCGACCUCGCGAGAGCAAGCGGACCUCAUAAAGUGCGUCGUAGUCCGGAUUGGAGUCUGCAACUCGACUCCAUGAAGUCGGAAUCGCUAGUAAUCGUGGAUCAGAAUGCCACGGUGAAUACGUUCCCGGGCCUUGUACACACCGCCCGUCACACCAUGGGAGUGGGUUGCAAAAGAAGUAGGUAGCUUAACCUUCGGGAGGGCGCUUACCACUUUGUGAUUCAUGACUGGGGUGAAGUCGUAACAAGGUAACCGUAGGGGAACCUGCGGUUGGAUCACCUCCUUACCUUAAAGAAGC